rnacentral:misc_RNA from 1 species
UACAGAGGUCUCAAGCGUUGUUCGGAUUCAUUGGGCGUAAAGGGCGCGUAGGCGGCGGGGCAAGUCUGGUGUGAAAUCUCGGAGCUCAACUUCGAAAUUGCACUGGAUACUGCUCUGCUAGAGGGCUGGAGAGGAGAUCGGAAUUCACGGUGUAGCAGUGAAAUGCGUAGAUAUCGUGAGGAAGACCAGUGGCGAAGGCGGAUCUCUGGACAGCUCCUGACGCUGAGGCGCGAAGGCUAGGGGAGCAAACGGG